GACGGAGGAUGCAAGUGUUAUCCGGAAUCACUGGGCGUAAAGCGUCUGCAGGUGGUUUCCUAAGUCCACUGUUAAACCUUGAGGCUCAACCUCAAAUCUGCAUUGGAAACUAGGAGACUUGAGUAUAGUAGGGGUAAAGGGAAUUUCCAGUGGAGCGGUGAAAUGCGUAGAGAUUGGAAAGAACACCGAUGGCGAAGGCACUUUACUGGGCUAUUACUAACACUCAGAGACGAAAGCUAGGGUAGCAAAUGGG
rnacentral:rRNA from 1 species